CACUCGGCUAACCGAGAGAUUGGUCGGUUAAUCUAUAUUGAGUAUGCGGCUAUAUGGGCGGUUGGUCUGUUAAUCGGGUUGGUUAUACGUCUGUUAAGAGUAAAACGCACAAUUUAAUGUCAAACUCUGUUAAAUAUACAGAUUUUUGGCAUAUUAUAAGAACCAAAUGAAAAAAAAAAAGAAAAGUGUCUGACAAAAUGAUAUCUAUCAUAGAACAUUUUCCACCUGUAAAAACAAUUUAUAGUCUGCGCAGUUUUCAGCAAAACUAAAAGGCGUCGCGCAGGUAUGUAGUAUUUAUG
rnacentral:lncRNA from 1 species